AACCAUAUGUCUAUCACUGCAAGGCCAUGACUAGCUCAAAUCAGGUUUCCUUGUCCUCAUGUCAAUGUGAAUCUGCAUGUUUAUAAGCAUGGCUGUUUGAGACACGGAGGAAGAAAAUGGCCUAAUGGAUCCAUGUAAAUGAAGAUGGAGAGUAAAUAGACGUGGAAAUUUUGAAAUUGGGCUGGCACGCUAAUCAGAGGCAGACGGGAGACACCAAUCAGUCUUCCAGGACGGAUACCGGGCACAUCCAAUGGCACUUCUUAUUUCCAUUCUCCACGCUCGUAAAUCCUGUCAGCUCCCUCACACACAGACAGCGGCUGCAUUUCACGCUGUUCUCUGAGCCACAAUCAGCAGAGCUACAGUCUCUGUGGCUGGAGGAGAGGAGAGAGGGAAUGAGACAGAGGGAGAGAGAUUUAUGUUCUUUUUUUUAUUCGGAUCCCCAUUAGCUGUUAAAGAAGCAGCAGCUAUUCUUCCUGGCAUCCACACAAAACAUAGGACAAAAUACAGAACACUAAUGGACUUGAGGUAUGGUUUUUAAAACAGAUUUUAUUGCUUGCCUGAGUUACCUGAGGUGGAAGAGAAUUCCAUGUAGUCAUUGCUCUAUACAGUACUGUGUGUCUCCCAGCCUCUGUUCUGGACUCGGAGACUGUGAAGAGACCCUUGAUUGCGUAUCUUUUGGAGUAUGUAUAGGGUUUUGAAUUGUGAUAACUGUCUGAACAGUCUAUUCGGUACUGUCAGCACGUCAAUACUUCUUACAAAGACCAGCAGUGAUUCAGUCAAUCUCUCCUCCACUCCGAACCAAGAGAGACAUACGUGCAUGUUAUUGAAAUUGGCAAUUCAUGUACAUUUGAUGGCCAGACGUGCUGCUCGGUUCUGGGUCAGCUGCAGCUUUUCUAGGAAAACAGCUGCAGUGCAGCAAGGCAGUUUGAUGGCACUGGGUCUGACUCCCAUCAUGGUAUUACAGUCACAUGGUAUCAGUCUGCACAAAACCAAUAUCAGCAUCAACAGCACUUUGGCUAUACCGUAAACCAUUCUCUCUGCAACUCCUCUGAUUCCUCACGAGGCCAAGAUUAACACACACACACUCUACUCUACUCUGGAGUGGCACAUUUGGAGUGGCUGACCAGCGAGGAGCAGAGAAGUGUUAAUGCUGUCGGGGAGGAGAAAGGCUGAGCCCUGAGUGGUUUGUUGUCUCCCUCUGUGAAUUACACAUUCUGUUGACAGUAGAUGGGAUUCUGCCAUCUGAAGAAUUACAGCUGUACAUAGGGAUGUCAAGUGCCACUCAGCGAGGAGUCUCCACUAUGAUUGCAAUCAAUAUCGGUUAAAGUGGAGGUUAACAGCACAGUGACUGUCAGUAGUUUCAGCUGGUUGGUUAUUGGCAUCGUAUCUGUGAACUAUUGACACAUAAUUUCCCUUCCCACAGAUUCCCUCCGAGAGGCUCUUAGUAACUUGAAGCAGAUAACACAAAAGUUCAAUUUCAAUCAAAAGUACUGCAAAGCAACACAAAAUAUAUAAGUAGUUUACGCUUUUUGCUUUCAAAUAAACAACUAUUUCCACAAAGAAAACAGAGAAUUAGAGAAACCUAGGAGAUUCCGCAAAAAUAUAAGCAAGGAAGAUAUCAGCAACCCAAAACUGAUUCAGAUUGCUACCAUAUAAAGGACAAAACUAUAAGAAUAGCUGUAAAUAUUGUUGUUUCUGGGGAAUUUGUAAGGGAAAAUACAUCCAACACGUUCCUUAUAAUUUGGUCAAUAUAUCCCAACCACAACUGAAAUAACAAUUUCUGUAUUACUUGAAACUGUUGGUCAGUUCAGAAAGUAACCACGCCUGGCAAUUUUAUGCAGAACCAUUGUGUGAAAGUCAGUUCUGGAUCUGUUCAGUUCGAUUGAACGUUUCUACAUUGUAUAAUGUCUUGUACUGAACAACACAUUUCCCCAAAACACUUUUCAACAUUCUUGAACAGACUUUGAGGUAGCUUACGUUUGCUCCAUUUGGUGGGUGUGGCGGGGUGUGGCUUGAAGCAAUGAGUGGCGUACUUGAAGCGCAGCGGUACAUUUUGAACCCACAACCCACCCCUCCCCAUUUUUCAACUGGUCAUUCAACAGCACUGUUUCCGUUUAAUUUAACCUUGCAUUACAUUUUUUCGUACUGAACGCAGCCCUGGUGACUUUUCUAGUCCAAAAUGUAUGGUGGCAUCAUUCAAAUAUAAUUUUCCCCUCCAAAAAAUGUUCCUAACUGAUUUAGUUUAGUAGCUAUAACUAAAUAGGCUGAAGCAUCGGGUUGCCCAUCUGUAUUUGUGCUAAUCAUUAGCUAGAUCAAUGCAUCUCAAACUUUUUCAGUCAUGGCCACCUUUCAUCAUGGGGGAACAUUCUAUGCCCCCUCACCUCCCUCAAUUAAAUGAACUGCAACUAUUGUUUCACAAAAAUAAAGUAUAAGAAUACCUUUUAUUCAUCAAAAAACAGUAUAUACAAACACCAGCAUCUGGUUUCCCUUCCAUAUUGAAAUAAAAAAAACUAUUAAUGAAGGAGAAAUAAACCUGCUCAUUGCUGUGCAAUAUCACAUCCAUCUCUAUCAAUAAAGACUAUUGUCAUGACUCUCCUAUGAUGAUCCAAAAGAUCAGAUUGCAGUGGAUCAGCUCUACAGAGUUAUAUCUCCAACAGAGGGGGGAGGGAUGGAUGUGGGGGUUUUAUGACACUUCACGUCGGUCAUAAACCAUAGGCAGCUGACAAUUCCUUUUGGGGUCUAGUUUGGGUGAUUGGAAUGUCUGUGUGCCUUAUGAAGAGUUUGCUGCCCAAAAACUACAACAUCAAACAAUGGACACUGGAACAACAUAUUUCAACAUCUUAAUUUUAUGAAACAAUUAAUGUCUAUUUUGUGAAAGUAGCAUGAAGACGUUAUAACGAAAACGUAACUUGAAGAGUUUUCAUACUGUGUAUAUCAUGUUUACAUACUUUACGUUGCGUGGAAAAUGUAUAGGAUGAAGAGAAUGUUUUGUUGACAAUAAGAUUGUGAUUUUAGUUCUCUAACGAGAUCAUAGUAAAUUGUGAAACCUUGCCUCGUAACUAGCCACGCCCCAGGGAACCCAGAGAGCGUGUCAACGUGAUGUAAACGCCCCCUUUUUACCCGAGGGUAUAAAGCGUUUGAGUUAAGAAUUCAUUUGGGGGGGGGGUGGCCUGUUUUGUGACUAUGUUUAACAGCAGAGAAAGCCCCCUAAAUGAUAUUUUUUUCAAUUUGAAAUUUGAUGAUUUUUCCUAGCAACCCCAACAUUAAAAAAGUUAAACAUUG